AGCUGAAAUCAAAGGUCGAAGAUGCCAGACUGGCUGCAAAACUGUUUAUUGAAAAAACACAAGCAAACUGGUGGCAAACACGAAAGUGGACUGUAUACCGGCUGUGACGCCUGCCCGGUGCCGGGGAAGGUUAAUUGAUGGGGUUAGCUGAAAUCAAAGGUCGAAGAUGCCAGACUGGCUGCAAAACUGUUUAUUGAAAAAACACAAGCAAACUGGUGGCAAACACGAAAGUGGACUGUAUAC
rnacentral:rRNA from 1 species